rnacentral:tRNA from 1 species
GUUUCUGUAGUUAAAUAAUAACGAUGGUUUUUCAAAUCAUAGAUUCUGGUUAAAAUCCGGGCAGAAAUU